rnacentral:snRNA from 1 species
AUUCGUUUUGGCGGUACAUUUACUAAACCUAGAACGGUACAAAGAAGAUUACCAUGACUCUGAGCAAGGAUGACACGUAAAGUCAUGAAGGGUUGUAUAUCUUU